rnacentral:tRNA from 1 species
UACAUUUUAGUAUAUGUUGUAUAAAAGUUUUUGAUACUUUAGGGGACAGUUAAAUUCUGUCAAAUGUAA